CAUUAUUCUGAAAUGAAAAGGACCAGUCAGACUGAGAAUCAGAACAAGUAUUUAUGUAUACAAUAUAUCUAGACUAUCACUACACAUCAUUCCAUCCUUUUUGAAUAAUUAAACCAAGAUAUAAGAGAACAAAACUCAUUCCAGGUAUAAAUAAUAUUUUUAUUAUCAAACAUUCACUUAUAAUGUUACUGUCAAUGAUAACUGAGAGCUUCGUGCUAAUUUCCCUGCAACUGAUCUGGUACAGUUCAACUGUAUGCAAAUUUCGGUAUCUGUACAGCUAAGGAUAUAUGUACAUGUAUCAUUGAUGCUAACUUGUAAUAAAUUGCAUAAAGUCUGAAAGGGAGAAUGGGAGAAAGGCAAGGUUCUUCAUGUUCAUUGUGUGUCUCAUUCACUGCAAAUAUCUCAAUUACAAAUGUAUUGUGUAAUCAGUUGCUCUGUGCCUUCCAGUGGUGCAAGAAAAAAAUCAGAAUGGCAAUCAAAUGCAAGCGUACAUAUUUUUUCAUUCUCAAAUGGCUGUUCUUUUGCUGCAUAAGUGUGGUCUGAAUGUUCAUCUAACAAGAGUUCUCCUUUGACUUCUUCUGAUGUAAUAGAAAUUUCCUCAGAACGUACAAACUCGACCAGAGAUGUGUCAUAAUUGGAUGAUCACUUUCAUCUUCAGUGUGGAUUGAAACUGCAACAGAUAUCUCCUCCAUAAUGGUAUCAACAGCUGUCCAUGGUCGAGGAUUACCUUUCUUUUUAACUCCUUUUGUUAACUUACUACAUCUUUUCCUCUUUUGGCAUUCUAAAUUAAAAAAAAAAAUAUUUUAGAGUUGAAAAGAAAUUUGAAUUUGUAGAGCCUAUUAUACAACAUCUAUUUGUCUUACUUUUAAA
rnacentral:lncRNA from 1 species